AUUGAACGCUGGCGGCAGGCCUAACACAUGCAAGUCGAGCGAGCGGCGGACGGGUGCGUAAUGUAUGGGGACUGCCCGAUAGAGGGGGAUAACUACUGGAAACGGUGGCUAAUACCGCAUACUGUCGGGAAACCCAUAUUGGAUUAGCUAGUAGGUAAGGUAAUGGCUUACCUAGGCGAAUAUCCCUAGCUGGUCUGAGAGGAUGAUCAGGCACACUGGGACGGAGAGACGUCCCAGACUCCUACGGAGGCAGCAGUGGGGAAUAUUGCACAAGGGGCGCAAGCCUGAUGCAGCCAUGCCGCGUGUAUGAAGAAGGCCCUAGGGUUGUAAAGUACUUUCAGUCGGGAGGCGUUACCGACAGAAGAAGCACCGGCUAACUCCGUGCCAGCCGCCGCGGUAAUUG
rnacentral:rRNA from 1 species